rnacentral:pre_miRNA from 1 species
UAUAAGAGAUUUUAAGAUUUUGUUUGCAAUGUUUGACCACUCGUCUUAUUUAAAAUUUUUUAAAAUUAUUAUUUAUUUUAUUUGUGACUUUACUUUAUUAUCUACAGUAUUUUGAGUACAACUUUUGUUUUUUAUAUUUGCAAAAAAAAUUUGAAUAAGACGAAUGGUCAAACGUUGCAAACAAAAACUCAAAAUCCCUUAUA